rnacentral:rRNA from 1 species
GACAGAGGGUGCAAACGUUGCUCGGAAUCACUGGGCGUAAAGGGCGUGUAGGCGGGUAGAUAAGUCGGGCGUGAAAUCCCUAGGCUCAACCUAGGAACUGCACUCGAAACUGUUUAUCUUGAGUGCCGGAGAGGAAAGCGGAAUUCCUGGUGUAGAGGUGAAAUUCGUAGAUAUCAGGAGGAACACCAGUGGCGAAGGCGGCUUUCUGGACGGUAACUGACGCUGAGA